rnacentral:tRNA from 2 species
GUCCCCAUAGCUUAAUGGAUAAAGCUCCAACCUUCUAAGUUGGCAAUGGAGGUUCGAUUCCUCCUGGGGACA